AUUGAACGCUGGCGGCAUGCCUUACACAUGCAAGUCGAACGGUAACGCGGGGCAACCUGGCGACGAGUGGCGAACGGGUGAGUAAUGCAUCGGAACGUGCCCAGUUGUGGGGGAUAACUGCUCGAAAGAGCAGCUAAUACCGCAUACGACCUGAGGGUGAAAGCGGGGGAUCGCAAGACCUCGCGCAAUUGGAGCGGCCGAUGUCGGAUUAGCUAGUUGGUGGGGUAAAGGCCCACCAAGGCGACGAUCCGUAGCUGGUCUGAGAGGACGACCAGCCACACUGGGACUGAGACACGGCCCAGACUCCUACGGGAGGCAGCAGUGGGGAAUUUUGGACAAUGGACGCAAGUCUGAUCCAGCCAUGCCGCGUGCGGGAAGAAGGCCUUCGGGUUGUAAACCGCUUUUGUCAGGGAAGAAAUCUUCUGGGUUAAUACCUCGGGAGGAUGACGGUACCUGAAGAAUAAGCACCGGCUAACUACGUGCCAGCCGCCGCGGUAACAC
rnacentral:rRNA from 1 species